rnacentral:ncRNA from 2 species
GGACGCUGUAUGCGAUGAAAGUCGCACGUACAGUGUUAAGUAGGGGGAAAGAUGAAGAUAACCUCAAAGUCUUACCCAUCGCAAU